rnacentral:rRNA from 1 species
AGCGAACGCUGGCGGCGUGCUUAACACAUGCAAGUCGAGCGAGAGAGUUCUUCGGAACAAUCUAGCGGCGGACGGGUGAGUAACACGUGGGCAACCUGCCUCAUAGAGGGGAAUAGCCUUCCGAAAGGAAGAUUAAUACCGCAUAACAUCGUUGAAGGGCAUCCUUCGAUGAUCAACGGAGUAAUCCGGAAUGAGAUGGGCCCGCGGCGUGUUAGCAAGUUGGUAAGGUAACGGCUCACCAAGGCGAAGAUGAGUAGCCGACCUGAGAGGGUGAGCGGCCAAAUGUGGACAGGGACACGGCGCAGAAUCCGACGGGAGGCAGCAGUGGGGAAUAUUGCACAAUGGGAGAAACCCGGAUGCAGCAACGCCGCGUGAGUGAUGACGGCCUUCGGGUUGUAAAGCUCUGUCUUUGGGGACGAUAAUGACGGUACCCAAGGAGGAAGUCACGGCUAACUACGUGCCAGCAGCCGCAGUAA